rfam:Triticum aestivum genome assembly, contig: Triticum_aestivum_CS42_TGACv1_scaffold_032118_1BL
UAAGUACUCCCUCCGUCCGGAAAUACUUGCCAUCAAAAUGGAUAAAAGAGAAUGUAUCUAAUAUAUUUUAGUUCUAGAUACAUCUCUUUUUAUUCAUUUUGAUGACAAGUAUUUUCGGACGGAGGGAGUACCUU